UACGGAGGGUGCGAGCGUUGUUCGGAAUCACUGGGCGUAAAGGGCGUGUAGGCGGUCCGCUAAGUCUGAUGUGAAAGCCCGGGGCUCACCCCCGGAAGUGCAUUGGAAACUGGCGGACUCGAGUCCCGGAGAGGAGAGUGGAAUUCCUGGUGUAGCGGUGAAAUGCGUAGAUAUCAGGAGGAACACCGGUGGCGAAGGCGGCUCUCUGGACGGUGACUGACGCUGAGGCGCGAAAGCGUGGGGAGCGAACCGG
rnacentral:rRNA from 1 species